GACGAACGCUGGCGGCGUGCUUAACACAUGCAAGUCGUACGGUAAGGCCCUUUCGGGGGUACACGAGUGGCGAACGGGUGAGUAACACGUGAGUAACCUGCCCACAACUUUGGGAUAACGCUAGGAAACUGGUGCUAAUACUGGAUAUGUGCUCCUGCUGCAUGGUGGGGGUUGGAAAGCUCCGGCGGUUGUGGAUGGACUCGCGGCCUAUUAGCUUGUUGGUGGGGUAGUGGCCUACCAAGGCGGCGACGGGUAGCCGGCCUGAGAGGGUGACCGGCCACAUUGGGACUGAGAUACGGCCCAGACUCCUACGGGAGGCAGCAGUGGGGAAUAUUGCACAAUGGGCGCAAGCCUGAUGCAGCAACGCCGCGUGCGGGAUGACGGCCUUCGGGUUGUAAACCGCUUUCAGCAGGGACGAAGCUUUUUGUGACGGUACCUGCAGAAGAAGCACCGGCUAACUACGUG
rnacentral:rRNA from 1 species